ACGCAUAGGAAUCUGCCGGUAGUGGGGGAUAACCUGGGGAAACCCAGGCUAAUACCGCAUACGUCCUACGGGAGAAAGCAGGGGAUCUUCGGACCUUGCGCUAUCGGAUGAGCCUAUGUCGGAUUAGCUGGUUGGUGAGGUAAUGGCUCACCAAGGCGACGAUCCGUAGCUGGUCUGAGAGGAUGAUCAGCCACAUCGGGACUGAGACACGGCCCGAACUCCUACGGGAGGCAGCAGUGGGGAAUAUUGGACAAUGGGCGCAAGCCUGAUCCAGCCAUGCCGCGUGUGUGAAGAAGGCCCUCGGGUUGUAAAGCACUUUCAGUGGGGAAGAAAUCCUCGGGGCUAAUACCCUCGAGGGAGGACAUCACCCACAGAAGAAGCACCGGCUAACUCCGUGCCAGCAGCCGCGGUAAUACGGAGGGUGCGAGCGUUAAUCGGAAUUACUGGGCGUAAAGCGCGCGUAGGCGGCCUGAUAAGCCGGUUGUGAAAGCCCCGGGCUCAACCUGGGAACGGCAUCCGGAACUGUCAGGCUAGAGUGCAGGAGAGGAAGGUAGAAUUCCCGGUGUAGCGGUGAAAUGCGUAGAGAUCGGGAGGAAUACCAGUGGCGAAGGCGGGCUUCUGGACUGACACUGACGCUGAGGUGCGAAAGCGUGGGUAGCAAACAGGAUUAGAUACCCUGGUAGUCCACGCCGUAAACGAUGUCGACUAGCCGUUGGGGUCCUUGAGACCUUUGUGGCGCAGUUAACGCGAUAAGUCGACCGCCUGGGGAGUACGGCCGCAAGGUUAAAACUCAAAUGAAUUGACGGGGGCCCGCACAAGCGGUGGAGCAUGUGGUUUAAUUCGAUGCAACGCGAAGAACCUUACCUACCCUUGACAU
rnacentral:rRNA from 1 species